ACAGACAGAUAGAUACUUUAUUUAUUCCCAAGGGGAAAUUCAUAUGUCCAUUAGCUCAUUGUUGAUAACAACAACUACAACAUGUAAGGUAUAAAAAGUUAUAGGACAGUAAGGUAUAAAAAACCUCAUAAAGACAUCAUAGUAUAGUAAGGUAUAAAAUGUCACGGUAUAGUAAGGCAUUAAAAAUCACAGUAUGGUAAGGCAUAAAAACAUCAAUAUGGUAAACUUCAUAGUAUUGUAAGGUAUAAAAAUGUCAUAGCAACAACAUUGUACAGUAAGUCAUGAAAACGUCAUAGUAUGAUAUGGCAUAAAAAGUCAGAAUAGUAAGGUAUAAAAUUGUCAUAGCAACGACAUAGUAUAGAAUGUCAUAAAAAUGUCAUAGUAUAGUAAGGCAUAAAGAACAUCAUAUAAUAGUAAGGCAUAAAAACGUCAUGGUAUAGUAAUGCUUAAAAAAGUGUCAUAGUAUAGUAAGGAAUAAAAAAUGACAGUAUAGUAAAGCUUAAAAAGAUGUCAUAGUAAGGCAAAAAAAAAAAAACUCGGUAAGGCAUGAAAAACGUCAUAGUAUAGUAUGGCAGAAAAAGGACAUAGUACGUUUUUACUACUAGUCAUAGUAUAUUAAGGCAUAAAAACGACAUAGUAUAGUAAGGCAUAAAAAGGACAUAAUUAGGCAUGAAAAGGACAUAGUAUAAUAAGUCAUAAAAACGACAGUAUAGUAAGGCAUAAAAAGGACAUAUUAUAGUAAGGCAUAAAAAGACAUAGUAUAGUAAGGUAUAAAAACGACAGUAUAGUAAGGCAUAAAAAGGACACUAUAGUAAGGCAUAAAAAGGACACUAUAGUAAGGCAUAAAAACGACAUAGUAUAGUAAGGCAUGAAAAACGUCAUAGUAAGGCAUGAAAAACGUCAUAGUAUAAUAAGGCAUAAAAAGGACAUAGUAUAGUUAGGCCAAAAAAGGACAUAGUAUAGUAAGGCAUGAAAAACGUCACAAUAUAGUAAGGCAUAAAAAGAACAUAGUAUAAUAAGGCAUAAAAACUACAGUAUAGUAAGGCAUGAAAAACGUCAUAGUAAGGCAUGAAAAACGUCAUAGUAUAGUAAGUCAUGAAAAGGACAUAGUAUAGUAAAGCAUAGAAACGACAGUAUAGUAAGGCAUAAAAAGGACAUAGUAUAGUAAGGCAUGAAAAACGUCAUAGUAUAGUUAGGCCAAAAAAGGACAUAGUAUAGUAAGGCAUGAAAAACGUCAUAAUAUAGUAAGGCAUAAAAAGAACAUAGUAUAAUAAGGCAUAAAAACGACAGUAUAGUAAGGCAUGAAAAGGACAUAGUAUAGUAAGGCAUGAAAAUCGUCACAGUAUAAUAAGCAUAAAAAUGUCAUACUAUAGUAAUUCUUACAAAAGAAUCACGUUAUAGUAAGGAAUAAAAACGUCAUAGUAUAGUAAGGCAUAAAAACGUCAUAGUAUAGUAAGGCAUAAAAAGGACAUAUUAUAGUAAGGCAUAAAAAGGACAUAUUAUAGUAAGGCAAAAAAAGGACAUAUUAUAGUAAGGCAUAAAGAGGACAUAUUAUAGUAAGGCAUGAAAAGGACAUAGUAUAGUAAGGCAUGAAAACGACAGUAUAGUAAGGCAAAAAAAGGACAUUAUAGUAAGGCAUAAAAAGGACAUAUUAUAGUAAGGCAUAAAAAGGACAUAUUAUAGUAAGGCAUGAAAAGGACAUAGUAUAGUAAGGCAUAAAAAGGACAUAUUAUAGUAAGGCAUAAAAAGGACAUAUUAUAGUAAGGCAUAAAAAGGACAGUAUAGUAAGGCAUAAAAACGUCAUAGUAUAGUAAGGCAUAAAAAGGACAUAGUAUAGUAAGGCAUGAAAAACGUCAUAGUAUAAUAAGCAUAAAAAUGUCAUACUAUAGUAAUUCUUACAAAAGAAUCACGUUAUAGUAAGGAAUAAAAACGUCAUAGUAUACUAAGGCAUGAAAACACCAAUGUAUAGUAAGUCAUAAAAACGACAGUAUAGUAAGGCAAAAAAAGGACAUAUUAUAGUAAGGCAUAAAAAGGACAUAUUAUAGUAAGGCAUCAAAACGACAUAGUAUUGUAAGGCAUAAAAACGUCAUAGUAUAGUAAGGCAUAAAAAGGACAUAGUAUAGUAAGGCAUAAAAAGGACAUAGUAUAGUAAGGCAAAAAAAGGACAUAUUAUAGUAAGGCAUAAAAAGGACAUAGUAUAGUAAGGCAAAAAAAGGACAUAUUAUAGUAAGGCAAAAAAAGGACAUAUUAUAGUAAGGCAUAAAAAGAACAUAUCGACACCCUCUUAAAAUAAUGGCCUAAGUCAUUUUUUCAGGUUUUUCAGGAAACACAAAAAACUCAACAAAAGAGUCACACUUUUGACAUAGGCCAUUAUACAACCGGGGGUAGAAUUGCAUGUUCCCCUCAACUGAGGAUUCAGGCGAUUUUACCAGAGGUGGCCAGCAUCAUGAGGGGGUGAUUUAGGCAAAAAAAACAUUUUUGUCAAAACAUGACUUAGGCCAUUAUUUUAGGAAGGUGACGAUAUUAUAGUAAGGCAUAAAAACGACAUAGUAUUGUAAGGCAUAAAAAGGACAUAGUAUAGUAAGGCAAAAAAAGGACAUAGUAUAAUAAGGCAUAAAAACGACAGUAUAUUAAGGUAUAAAAAGGACAGUAUAGUAAGGCAUAAAAAGGACAUACCGUAGUAUAGUAAGGCAUGAAAAACGUCAUAGUAUAGUAAGGCAUAAAGACGUCAUAGUAUAGUAAGGCAUAAAAAGGACAUAGUAUAGUAAGGCAUAAAAACGACAUAGUAUAGUAAGGCAAAAAAAGGACAUAGUAUAGUAAGGCAAAAAAAGGACAUAUUAUAGUAAGGCAUAAAAACGUCAUAGUAUAGUAAGGCAAAAAAAGGACAUUUUAUAGUAAGGCAUAAAAACGACAUAGUAUAGUAAGGCAUAAAAACGUCACAGUAUAGUUUGGCAUAAAAAGGACAUAGUAUAGUAAGGCAUGAAAAACGUCAUAGUAUAGUAAGGCAAAAAAAGGACAUAGUAUAGUAAGGCAAAAAAAGGACAUAUUAUAGUAAGGCAUAAAAACAACAUAGUAUAGUAAGGCAAAAAAAGGACAUCGUAUAGUAAGGCAUAAAAACGUCAUAGUAUAGUAAGGUAUAAAAAGGACAGUAUAGUAAGGCAAAAAAAGGACAUAGUAUAGUAAGGCAUAAAAACGUCAUAGUAUAGUAAGGUAUAAAAAGGACAGUAUAGUAAGGCAUAAAAACGUCAUAGUAUAGUAAGGCAUAAAAAGGACAUAGUAUAGUAAGGCAUAAAAACGACAUAGUAUAGUAAGGCAAAAAAAGGACAUAGUAUAGUAAGGCAUAAAAACGACAUAGUAUAGUAAGGCAAAAAAAGGACAUAGUAUAGUAAGGCAAAAAAAGGACAUAUUAUUAGUAAGGCAUAAAAACGUCAUAGUAUAGUAAGGCAUAAAAACCUCAUAGUAUAGUAAGGCAAAAAAGGACAUAUAGUAAGGCAAAAAAAGGACAUAGUAUAAUAAGGCAUAAAAACGACAGUAUAGUAAGGUAUAAAAAGGACAGUAUAGUAAGGCAAAAAAAGGACAUAUUAUAGUAAGGCAUAAAAAGGACAUAGUAUAAUAAGGCAUAAAAACGACAGUAUAGUAAGGUAUAAAAAGGACAGUAUAGUAAGGCAAAAAAAGGACAUAUUAUAGUAAGGCAUGAAAAACGUCAUAGUAUAGUAAGGCAUAAAAACGUCACAGUAUAGUAAGGCAUAAAAAGGACAUAGUAUAGUAAGGCAUAAAAACGACAUAGUAUAGUAAGGCAUGAAAAACGACACAGUAUAUUAAGGUAUAAAAAGGACAGUAUAGUAAGGCAUAAAAAGGACAUACCGUAGUAUAGUAAGGCAUGAAAAACGUCAUAGUAUAGUAAGGCAUAAAAACGUCAUAGUAUAGUAAGGCAUAAAAAGGACAUAGUAUAGUAAGGCAAAAAAAGGACAUAUUAUAGUAAGGCAUAAAAACGACAUAGUAUAGUAAGGCACAAAAAGGACAUAGUAUAGUAAGGCAUAAAAACGUCAUAGUAUAGUAAGGUAUAAAAAGGACAGUAUAGUAAGGCAUAAAAAGGACGUCAUAGUAUAGUAAGGCAUAAAAACGUCAUAUUAUUAGUAAGGCAUAAAAACGUCAUAGUAUAGUAAGGCAAAAAAAGGACAUAGUAUAGUAAGGCAUAAAAAGGACAUAGUAUAGUAAGGCAUAAAAACAACAUAGUAUAGUAAGGCAAAAAAAGGACAUAUUAUUAGUAAGGCAUAAAAACGUCAUAGUAUAGUAAGGCAUAAAAAGGACAUAGUAUAGUAAGGCAUAAAAACGACAUAGUAUAGUAAGGCAUGAAAAACGACACAGUAUAUUAAGGUAUAAAAAGGACAGUAUAGUAAGGCAUAAAAAGGACAUACCGUAGUAUAGUAAGGCAUGAAAAACGUCAUAGUAUAGUAAGGCAUAAAAACGUCAUAGUAUAGUAAGGCAUAAAAACGUCAUAGUAUAGUAAGGUAUAAAAAGGACAGUAUAGUAAGGCAUAAAAAGGACGUCAUAGUAUAGUAAGGCAUAAAAACGUCAUAGUAUAGUAAGGCAUAAAAACGUCAUAGUAUAGUAAGGCAUAAAAAGGACAUAGUAUAGUAAGGCUUAAAAACGACAUAGUAUAGUAAGGCAAAAAAAGGACAUAGUAUAGUAAGGCAUAAAAACGACAUAGUAUAGUAAGGCAAAAAAAGGACAUAUUAUUAGUAAGGCAUAAAAACGUCAUAGUAUAGUAAGGCAUAAAAACGACAUAGUAUAGUAAGGCAAAAAAAGGACAUAGUAUAGUAAGGCAAAAAAAGGACAUAUUAUUAGUAAGGCAUAAAAACGUCAUAGUAUAGUAAGGCAUAAAAAGGACAUAGUAUAGUAAGGCAUAAAAACGACACAGUAUAUUAAGGUAUAAAAAGGACAGUAUAGUAAGGCAAAAAAAGGACAUAUUAUAGUAAGGCAUAAAAAGGACAUAGUAUAGUAAGGCAUAAAAAGGACAUAGUAUAGUAAGGCAUGAAAAACGUCAUAGUAUAGUAAGGCAUAAAAACGUCACAGUAUAGUAAGGCAUAAAAAGGACAUAGUAUAGUAAGGCAUGAAAAACGUCAUAGUAUAGUAAGGCAUAAAAACGUCAUAGUAUAGUAAGGCAAAAAAAGGACAUAUUAUAGUAAGGCAUAAAAACGACAUAGUAUAGUAAGGCAAAAAAAGGACAUAGUAUAGUAAGGCAUAAAAACGUCAUAGUAUAGUAAGGUAUAAAAAGGACAGUAUAGUAAGGCAUAAAAAGGACGUCAUAGUAUAGUAAGGCAUAAAAACGACAAAGUAUAGUAAGGCAUAAAAACGACAUAGUAUAGUAAGGCAUAAAAAGGACAUAUUAUAGUAAGGCAUAAAAACGUCAUAGUAUAGUAAGGCAUAAAAAGGACAUAGUAUAGUAAGGCAUAAAAACGACAUAGUAUAGUAAGGCAAAAAAAGGACAUAGUAUAGUAAGGCAAAAAAAGGACAUAUUAUUAGUAAGGCAUAAAAACGUCAUAGUAUAGUAAGGCAUAAAAAGGACAUAGUAUAGUAAGGCAAAAAAAGGACAUAGUAUAGUAAGGCAAAAAAAGGACAUUAUUAGUAAGGCAUAAAAACGUCAUAGUAUAGUAAGGCAUAAAAACGACAUAGUAUAGUAAGGCAAAAAAAGGACAUAGUAUAGUAAGGCAAAAAAAGGACAUAUUAUUAGUAAGGCAUAAAAACGUCAUAGUAUAGUAAGGCAUAAAAAGGACAUAGUAUAGUAAGGCAUAAAAACGACAUAGUAUAGUAAGGCAAAAAAAGGACAUAGUAUAGUAAGGCAUAAAAAGGACAUAUUAUAGUAAGGCAUAAAAAGGACAUAUUAUAGUAAGGCAUAAAAAGGACAUAGUAUAGUAAGGCAUAAAAACGUCAUAGUAUAGUAAGGCAUAAAAAGGACAUAUUAUAGUAAGGCAAAAAAAGGACAUAGUAUAGUAAGGCAUGAAAAACGUCAUAGUAUAGUAAGGCAUAAAACGGACAUAGUAUAGUAAGGCAUAAAAAUGUCAUAGUAUAGUAAGGUAUAAAAAGGACAGUAUAUUAAGGCAUAAAAAGGACGACAUAGUAUAGUAAGGCAUAAAAACGACAUAGUAUAGUAAGGCAUGAAAAACGACAUAUUAUAGUAAGGCAUAAAAAGGACAUAGUAUAGUAAGGCAAAAAAAGGACAUAUUAUAGUAAGGCAUAAAAAGGACAUUAUAGUAAGGCAAAAAAAGGACAUAUUAUAGUAAGGCAUAAAAAGGACAUUAUAGUAAGGCAUAAAAAUGACAUUAUAGUAAGGCAUAAAAAUGACAUUAUAGUAAGGCAUAAAAAUGACAUUAUAGUAAGGCAUAAAAAGGACAUAUUAUAGUAAGGCAAAAAAGGACAUCGUAUAGUAAGGCAAAAAAAGGACAUAGUAUAGUAAGGCAAAAAAAGGACAUAUUAUAGUAAGGCAUAAAAAGGACAUUAUAGUAAGGCAUAAAAAUGACAUUAUAGUAAGGCAUAAAAAGGACAUUAUAGUAAGGCAUAAAAAGGACAUUAUAGUAAGGCAAAAAAAGGACAUAGUAUAGUAAGGCAAAAAAAGGACAUAUUAUAGUAAGGCAUAAAAAGGACAUAGUAUAGUAAGGCAUAAAAACGACAGUAUAGUAAGGCAUGAAAAACGUCAUAGUAUAAUAAGGCAUAAAAACGUCAUAGUAUAAUAAGGCAUAAAAACGAUAUAGUAUAGUAAGGCAAAAAAAGGACAUAGUAUAGUAAGCAUAAAAAAGAGUUAUAGUAUAAUAAGGAAUAAAAAACGACAUAGGAUAGUAAGGCAUGAAAACACCAUAGUAUAGUAAUUCAAAAAAAGGACAUAGUAUAAUAAGGCAUAAAAACAUCAUAAUAUGGUAAGGCAUAAAAACAACAUAGUAUAGUAAGGCAUAAAAACAUCAUAAUAUGGUAAGGCAUAAAACGUCAUAUGAUAAAAAGGCUUAAAAAACUGCUGCACUAUUGUCCAUGAUUUUUUUUUCAUUGUUAACUUUGAAAAUAUACAAAAAUAUAGUGACCAUUGACCAUCCAUAUCUUUGCAACAAGUCAAUAUUGUACUAUAACAACUCUCCAUGAUGUUUUUGUCUUU